rnacentral:rRNA from 1 species
CGUAGGAUCCGAGCGUUGUCCGGAUUUACUGGGUGUAAAGGGUGCGCAGGCGGACUGGUAAGUCAGAGGUGAAAUCUCGUCGCUCAACGACGAAACUGCCUUUGAUACUAUCAGUCUUGAAUCCGGUAGAGAUCUGUGGAAUUCCGAGUGUAGCAAUGAAAUGUGUAGAUAUUCGGAAGAACACCAGUGGCGAAGGCAGCAGAUUGGGCCGGUAUUGACGCUCAGGCACGAAAGCAUGGGGAUCAAACAGGAUUAGAGACCCUGGUAGUCCAUGCCCUAAACGAUGUUCACUUGAUGUCUGCCCUCAGGGUAGGUGUCGAAGCUAACGCGAUAAGUGAACCACCUGGGGAGUACGCUCGCAAGGGUG